AAGUGCUGAGUUUACAGGUGUGAGCCACUGCGCCCGGCCCCAACUUGGUUCUUACUGAAUAUAUGUUUAGCACAAUCUAGUACAUAGGAGGCACUAUUAUUGUUGUUAUUAUAUUAUUUUACAUACCCCUUGGGAUUCUCUUCUGUCUGCUGCCACUACUAUAUUGGCACUCAGGAUCUGCUGAUCCCCUUUAAUACCCUGGCCCCAGUCCACACAAAGACUCUUCCUUGUUUUCCCCUUAGCAAAACUGAAAUUGCUGGAACUUAAAAAAGCUUAAUGCUAGUGGAGUACAAAAGGCAAACAAGAAAAUACAUAAUUAGGAUAAAAGCCACCUGGCUUACAAAAUAUAUGUUUCUGAACUUAGCAUUUAUUCAUUAAACAUUUACCAAUAGUGUAUACUAUGAAAAAAAAAACAAUGUGUAAGACAACAUGUAUGCUGCACUACCACUUCUGUAAAAAGGGAAGAGAAUGCAUCUAAAUGAACAUGCAUCUUCAGAAGGAUGCACUAGAGAUUGAGAAUAGUGUUUGCUUUUGUGAAAGAGCACGUGCAGCAGGUGUGGGUCAAGGUGAUGAACAUUGUGAGUGACUCAACCACAUCCAUUCUACACAAAUGCAUUUGGAAAAUGGACUUUUUAGCCAGGGAUGGCUCUGAUUGUUACAGGUAUGAUUCCUUUCCCCUGACAGUGAUUUGUUAAAGAAGAGAUAUGUGACCCAAUUCUGUCCAGUGAAUGAGAGGAGAGCAGAGGAGAGGUUUGCUGGAAGGUUCUAGAAUUUGCUUUCUUACUCUAAGGACAAAUUCACAGAAAGUCAGUUGGACACAAAUAAGGAAGGAUGAAGCCCAACUGUUUCCAUUUGACAACUGUGAAAUAAAUUAGCCUUAGGCUGAAGCCCAGGCAGUAGAGAGCAGAGUAGAAAAACAGAAAGAAUCUGUGUCCUUGAUAAUACGGUGAAGCUGCUAAAUCAACUAACUGAAC
rnacentral:lncRNA from 10 species